UAAUACGGAGGGUGCAAGCGUUAAUCGGAAUUACUGGGCGUAAAGCGCACGCAGGCGGUUUGUUAAGUCAGAUGUGAAAUCCCCGAGCUUAACUUGGGAACUGCAUUUGAAACUGGCAAGCUAGAGUCUUGUAGAGGGGGGUAGAAUUCCAGGUGUAGCGGUGAAAUGCGUAGAGAUCUAGAGGAAUACCGGUGGCGAAGGCGGCCCCCUGGACAAAGACUGACGCUCAGGUGCGAAAGCGUGGGGAGCAAACAGGAUUAGAUACCCUGGUAGUCCACGCUGUAAACGAUGUCGACUUGGAGGUUGUGCCCUUGAGGCGUGGCUUCCGGAGCUAACGCGUUAAGUCGACCGCCUGGGGAGUACGGCCGCAAGGUUAAA
rnacentral:rRNA from 1 species